AGGAACUGGGGCGACAUGUAGAAAGGAGUCUUUGGAUCAUAGAAUUCGAACUUCGGGAACUGCAAACAAGAGAUUGUUCACCGACGUCGUUUCGCCGGAGGGUAUUGCGGCUUUUGGUUCGGGAGAUGUAGAGAGUUUUUUGAGCUUUUCGAUUCUUGAAGAUGGGUGAACGGCUAUGCGUUGCCGGUUCGUGGCCCAGUGGCCGAUCGGCGACGAAAUAAACAUGUGAAGAGAGCCCACUUGAGCUCUUAUUCAAGUUUCAGGCGAGAGGGCAGGGGGUUUUUCUGGCGUCUCCCUUGCGAUUCCACGACCUCCUUGGCUGGUUUCGCGAGGGUGGUGGCGUAGGAGGGUCGUGGCGGCGGCGCGACGAGGGCGGCGCGGCCGAGUUCACGCGUUGUUGCUGCGCUCGGCGGC
rnacentral:lncRNA from 1 species